rnacentral:rRNA from 1 species
GUGAGGAAUAUUGGACAAUGGGCGCGAGCCUGAUCCAGCCAUGCCGCGUGCAGGAAGACGCAUCUAUGGUGUGUAAACUGCUUUUGUACGGGAAGAAACACUCCCUCGUGAGGGAGCUUGACGGUACCGUAAGAAUAAGGAUCGGCUAACUCCGUGCCAGCAGCCGCGGUAAUACGGAGGAUCCAAGCGUUAUCCGGAAUCAUUGGGUUUAAAGGGUCCGUAGGCGGUUUAAUAAGUCAGUGGUGAAAGCCCAUCGCUCAACGAUGGAACGGCCAUUGAUACUGUUAGACUUGAAUUACAAGGAAGUAACUAGAAUAUGUAGUGUAGCGGUGAAAUGCUUAGAUAUUACAUGGAAUACCAAUUGCGAAGGCAGGUUGCUACUUGUGGAUUGACGCUGAUGGACGAAAGCGUGGGGAGCGAACAGGAUUAGAUACCCUGGUAGUCC